rnacentral:tRNA from 1 species
GGAGGAGUGCAAGAGUGGUUUAUUUGGCCGGUUUCGAAAACCGAGCGGAUCGAAAGAUCCACAGAGGUUCAAAUCCUCUCUCCUCCG